ensembl:lncRNA
AGCUAACCUUAGUUAGCUCGGCUGGCUAGCGACUGCUAGCUUCCAAACUCCUUUCUAAGCCCCAGAGCUGCGUGUGCGCUGACAAACCGGCCGGCCUCGUCUCCUCCGGGCGAGCCGAGGCCUUCACGUCACGCUCGACCCCGUGUAAACAUGGAAGCAGAGGCCGAGGCCGAGGGUGAGGCUUGAGGGUGAGGAUUGAGGGUGAGGAUCGGUGGGCUGUGAUGUAGCGGCACGCCGUCACAACAGCAUCCAUCGCUGUCAGCGGCAGAACGCGUGUGCUCUCACUGCAAAAUCAGGCAGCACAUGGCCAGCGUGAGUGAGUCACAUUGGUCUGGUAACGAGAGCCUCCGCUCAGGGAGAGUCCCUCCAUGCGUCCUUGGGACUGGGGCCAACCCCCUUUGAGGGUAUCAGGUGCACCGUUCCUCUGGGCAAUGGGAGACUCGUCGGCCCCCGACCACCGAAAGUAGCCGUUUCGCUGCCGUCGCUGUUGUUUUGGCUCAUUUUCAUACACGACACUAGUUCUUCUAAAAACAGAAUUACUGUCUAUGAGACGUUGGGACUCAAGGGGACGCGGCAACUUGGAUGUCUCGCUGACAUGGGCUCGGGGACAGUGCGCAGAGAGGGU